rnacentral:rRNA from 1 species
GAUGAACGCUGGCGGCGUGCCUAAUACAUGCAAGUCGAGCGAACAGAUAAGGAGCUUGCUCCUUUGACGUUAGCGGCGGACGGGUGAGUAACACGUGGGUAACCUACCUAUAAGACUGGAAUAACUCCGGGAAACCGGGGCUAAUGCCGGAUAACAUUUAGAACCGCAUGGUUCUAAAGUGAAAGAUGGUUUUGCUAUCACUUAUAGAUGGACCCGCGCCGUAUGAGCUAGUUGGUAAGGUAACGGCUUACCAAGGCAACGACACGUAGCCGACCUGAGAGGGGGACCGGCCACAAUGCGACUGAGGGAGGGACCAGAGUGCUACGGUAGGCAGGGGGGGAAAACAUGGCGCAACAGGGCGACGUGGGAGGUAGCGAUGUUGGGUUCGGAAAGACGUUUUAUGGGGGAAAAAAAGAUGUGUAAGGAGCUGUGCAGUUCGUGACGGUACUUAAUAAAAAAGCACCGGCUAACUACGUG